rfam:Xenorhabdus innexi strain HGB1681 (deposited as PTA-6826 in the American Type Culture Collection) genome assembly, scaffold: XIS1_scaffold1
UUCAAUGGCGGUUUAGACAGGGGAGGCUUCGGCCUCACCGGUUGGGUAUUUUCCGGUAUUGCAAACCCUGUCUGAAUCGCCACCAUC